rnacentral:rRNA from 1 species
CCAGACAGCCAGGAUGUUGGCUUAGAAGCAGCCAUCAUUUAAAGAAAGCGUAAUAGCUCACUGGUCGAGUCGGCCUGCGCGGAAGAUGUAACGGGGCUAAACCAUGCACCGAAGCUGCGGCAGCGACGCUGAUGCGUUGUUGGGUAGGGGAGCGUUCUGUAAGCCUGCGAAGGUGUGCUGUGAGGCAUGCUGGAGGUAUCAGAAGUGCGAAUGCUGACAUAAGUAACGAUAAAGCGGGUGAAAAGCCCGCUCGCCGGAAGACCAAGGGUUCCUGUCCAACGUUAAUCGGGGCAGGGUGAGUCGACCCCUAAGGCGAGGCCGAAAGGCGUAGUCGAUGGGAAACAGGUUAAUAUUCCUGUACUUGGUGUUACUGCGAAGGGGGGACGGAGAAGGCUAUGUUGGCCGGGCGACGGUUGUCCCGGUUUAAGCGUGUAGGCUGGUUUUCCAGGCAAAUCCGGAAAAUCAAGGCUGAGGCGUGAUGACGAGGCACUACGGUGCUGAAGCAACAAAUGCCCUGCUUCCAGGAAAAGCCUCUAAGCAUCAGGUAACAUCAAAUCGUACCCCAAACCGACACAGGUGGUCAGGUAGAGAAUACCAAGGCGCUUGAGAGAACUCGGGUGAAGGAACUAGGCAAAAUGGUGCCGUAACUUCGGGAGAAGGCACGCUGAUA